CUAUGUAUCUUUAUACAGGUAUCUGUACAUCUAUAAAGAAAUAUGUAUAUAGAAAAUAUCAUGGCACCUUUCUACCCCUCCAUGAGGGAGGAGCCUUGUUUGCUGUUGUAAACUCUAGGGCCUAGACCAGGGCCUGGCAAUGCCACUGGGCAAAAUAAAUGUCAAUGAACACUUACUGCAUGCAACUCCAUUUUAAUGGGAAUGGAAGGACAUGCCAGCUAGUGUUGAAGGAAGAAGAGAGAAAAAAUCCUGGAUGAACUGAACCUGUUUCACCAUUUCGCCUGGGGCAGCCUUGUGUGAGUUUUGUAGAACUGGAAGUGAUAAAACUGUGUUACCAAUACCUGGUGAGUAGGCAUCUAAUAUAUGCAACCCUUUUAUCUGCCUGGGCUGCUCUGCUUCCUGAAGAUGGGGUGGCUGAGAAGCCAACCUGUGUGUACAAGGAGAAGCCAACAUACUAGAAUGCUGUUGUGUUUAAUCCAAAGUGAUACCAAGACAAGAUCCUAAGGUGAUUCAGAAUCUAAAAAUGUAUUCUGCCAACAGACUGGGUGGCAGGCUCCCAGGAAAUUUGGCUAUGCUUGAAAAGAAUCUGCAUGAGGAACACUGGGCUCUACCCUCAACACACACUCUGAUGAGCUUCCCUCUCCAGACAUGCGGUGCCAGUGACUUCUGACUGCCAAGACAUCAGCCUGCAUACUCUGCUCUGCCUCCUUCCCCAUCUCCGCAGGAUGAGAAAAUGGAGGUGUUGAUUCGCCAGGCAACAUGGAAUCACAUGACAGAAACUCUGGUUUUGGCAGUGUGGGAAGGAGGGAAUGGAGGCAGGGAAUGGAGAAGAGAUUCUUGGAAUAGUUCAGGCAGGGAGUCAGAGAGUCUAGACUAGGCUGCUGCAGCAAGAAUAAAGUAGAAUGACUGUUCCCAACAUCUCCUAAGGUUACACAUAGCUGUUGCAGGAGAACAGAAGGCUAGAACUGUGCCUGAAGAGAGAAGGAUCCAAGAAGAAAUGGAGCCCCAAGCAAAGAAGGGAUUUUCUAUCACUGAAGACUCCAUUAUACUUGAAGCUAAUAUGCCCUCAAGUGUGUUUAGGCUCUCUUCGGCAAUGUAGUGUAUUGAGUGCUAAAUUGCAUCAGUGUAUUGCUUCUGCCUUAUGGCACUGGUGAAGAAACCAGGAGCCCAUUUCCCAGAAUUAUUUAAUCUGGUCUUGAGUUACCAUACCAGGCCUGCAUCUAAAUAAGAUCUAAAUAAGAAUUUGUAUCUACAAAUGUUGUUGUUGCUUUUUAAAUAAUAGUCACAAUGUUUAUUGAAGGAGAAACAUAGGCAAUCCAUACAAAGAUCCAUAUACCAAAAUUACCUAUAAACUCACAACCAAAAAGUCACUUUUAACACUUUAUUGUCCCCUUUCAGUGUUGUCUUAAUGUGCGUGUGUGUGUUUUAUUUUUUUGUAUGUGCAUUCUUUUUUCUUCAAAUAAUAAUCUUUUAACCCUGACUCUCUUUUUG